rnacentral:rRNA from 1 species
UGGGGAAUAUUGCACAAUGGGCGCAAGCCUGAUGCAGCCAUGCCGCGUGUGUGAAGAAGGUUUUCGGAUCGUAAAACUCUGUUGUUAGAGAAGAACAAGGACGUUAGUAACUGAACGUCCCCUGACGGUAUCUAACCAGAAAGCCACGGCUAACUACGUGCCAGCAGCCGCGGUAAUACGUAGGUGGCAAGUGUUAAUCGGAAUUACUGGGCGUAAAGCGCACGCAGGCGGUUGCUUGAGUCAGAUGUGAAAUCCCCGGGCUUAACCCGGGAAUUGCAUCGGAUACUGGUCAGCUAGAGUCUUGUAGAGGGGGGUAGAAUUUCAUGCGUAGCGGUGAAAUGCGUAGAGAUGUGGAGGAGUACCGGUGGCGAAGGCGGCCCCCUGGACAAAGACUGACGCUCAGGUGCGAAAGCGUGGGGAGCAAACAGG